rnacentral:lncRNA from 10 species
GCUGUGUCAAGUCGGGGAGCGGCUCUUUGCUCAGCUUAGAGAACUGGAAGAGGCCGCAACCUUCUGCCUGCUGGAGGCUGGAGGAUGGAUGGAGCCUGGAGCCUGGGACACUACCUUGCUGUGGUUGGUGGUGGCGACAGAGCAGUAAGAGGGUGGCCGGCAGCAGGAGCUUGUCCUGCUGGGCUGGAGGACUAGGAGAAGGAAGAGGCACCACCACAUGCUGGAGGCUGAAGCCUGGAGUCUGUGCCACCAUGGCUCGCCUCGCUGUGGUUGGUGGUGACGCUGGAGACUGCAGCUGGGCCACAGUGGUAGAAAUGUGAUGGGGUAGGUUGAAUAAUUUUGAUGGGCAGAAGUGUUCUAAAGUAUGCUUUUAUAAACCUCAUAUCACAGUAAUCCAUUGUUGAAACAUGGCUUAAUGCAUGUUUUAGGAUGGGUGAAGGAAGGAGAGAAGGGAAAAAGAAAAGAUGAAGAAAGGAAGAAAAAAAGAAAAAAGAAGGUGAAGGAAAGAGAGAGGAAGAAAGAAAAUGAAAAUAUGAGCAUGUUAUGAAGAAAACUGAAAAUAUGUAAUUAUUUUUUCUUAAUUUUAGCAGGUGUAGAAACUCUUAAGGCUGAUGAUGAGAUAGCUAUUUUUGCCAUAAAUUACAUGAAUUAUAUUCAUUUUUACAUUCUUAUAAUACAGCAUUAGAAUAUGUUGUGUUAUACGUAGACUCCUUAGAAGAUACACAUAAAUAAAAGAAAAAAAUUAAAAGCUGCUUUCAACUUACUAUCAUUCAUGUCCAUCUCUGUGUGCAUGUAUUACACACACACACACAUCCCCACAGUAAGAACCCACUAAAUAUUGUUAAGUUCUGGGAAAAUAUGACCUUAAGUGAAAUGACGUACAAUAGGUCCUUGAAUAACAUAGUCAUUUAGAUAUAAUUAUAAUAUGGAAAAAAUGGAUUUUGUUAUGCAUCGUUUUGAUUAAAGUCACAGUUUCCAAGAACCUAUUGAUGACAUUGAGGAGUUUAUACACACACAAACAUACACAAACAUGCACACACAUACAACACACACACACACAAAUGUAGUUAUACACAAUAUACUGACUGCCUUAUAAGAAUUUUUUUUCUAUCUUGUAAUAAUACAUGAGUACCACAUUUUUCAAUGCAUUUAAUCAUGC